rnacentral:rRNA from 1 species
AACGAACGCUGGCGGCAGGCUUAACACAUGCAAGUCGAGCGCCCCGCAAGGGGAGUGGCAGACGGGUGAGUAACGCGUGGGAAUCUACCCAUCUCUACGGAAUAACGCAUGGAAACGUGUGCUAAUACCGUAUACGUCCUUCGGGAGAAAGAUUUAUCGGAGAUGGAUGAGCCCGCGCUGGAUUAGCUAGUUGGUGGGGUAAAGGCCUACCAAGGCGACGAUCCAUAGCUGGUCUGAGAGGAUGAUCAGCCACACUGGGACUGAGACACGGCCCAGACUCCUACGGGAGGCAGCAGUGGGGAAUAUUGGACAAUGGGCGCGAGCCUGAUCCAGCCAUGCCGCGUGAGUGAUGAAGGCCCUAGGGUUGUAAAGCUCUUUCACCGGUGAAGAUAAUGACGGUAACCGGAGAAGAAGCCCCGGCUAACUUCGUGCCAGCAGCCGCAGUAAGAC